AACGUAGGAGACAAACGUUAUCCGGAGUUACUGGGCGUAAAGGGCGUGUAGGCGGACUGUUAAGUCUGGCGUGAAAGCUCCCGGCUAAACCGGGAGAGGUCGUUGGAUACUGGCAGACUAGAGGGUGGUAGAGGCGUGUGGAAUUCCGGGUGUAGUGGUGAAAUGCGUAGAGAUCAGGAAGAACACCGGUGGCGAAAGCGCUCUGCUGGACCUUAACUGACACUGAGGGACGAAAGCUAGGGGAGCGAAUGGG
rnacentral:rRNA from 1 species